rnacentral:rRNA from 1 species
UACGAAGGGGGCUAGCGUUGCUCGGAAUCACUGGGCGUAAAGCGCACGUAGGCGGCUUUGCAAGUCAGAGGUGAAAGCCCGGGGCUCAACCCCGGAAUUGCCUUUGAGACUGCAUCGCUAGAAUUGUGGAGAGGUAAGUGGAAUUCCGAGUGUAGAGGUGAAAUUCGUAGAUAUUCGGAAGAACACCAGUGGCGAAGGCGACUUACUGGACACAUAUUGACGCUGAGGUGCGAAAGCGUGGGGAGCAAACAGG